GGGCGGCAUGGAUGAUGACUUAUGGUCCUUAUAUCCUGCCUAAUUUGAAUGUGAUCCAAAUUAGAGAUAAGCAGACAAGAAGGAAAGAGAUCCCUUAUGAUUGGAAAGAAGGGUGGCACCAAGAGAUUCUUUUAUUAAUUUCUUUGAAGAGUUUGUUGGCAUGAAAAAGAUCAGAUCUCUUCCUCAUGCCAUAGCCCAUUUUUCAAAAUUUUAGGAUGCCAAAAUUGGUUUUGGCAUGGAGACUUUGGUGCCCCUCUUUUUGACCCAAAAACCCUAAUCCCUUGUUAUUUAAAGGGGGGUC
rnacentral:lncRNA from 1 species